GAUGAACGCUGGCGGCGUGCCUAAUACAUGCAAGUCGAGCGAACGGACGAGAAGCUUGCUUCUCUGAUGUUAGCGGCGGACGGGUGAGUAACACGUGGAUAACCUACCUAUAAGACUGGGAUAACUUCGGGAAACCGGAGCUAAUACCGGAUAAUAUUUUGAACCGCAUGGUUCAAAAGUGAAAGACGGUCUUGCUGUCACUUAUAGAUGGAUCCGCGCUGCAUUAGCUAGUUGGUAAGGUAACGGCUUACCAAGGCAACGAUGCAUAGCCGACCUGAGAGGGUGAUCGGCCACACUGGAACUGAGACACGGUCCAGACUCCUACGGGAGGCAGCAGUAGGGAAUCUUCCGCAAUGGGCGAAAGCCUGACGGAGCAACGCCGCGUGAGUGAUGAAGGUCUUCGGAUCGUAAAACUCUGUUAUUAGGGAAGAACAUAUGUGUAAGUAACUGUGCACAUCUUGACGGUACCUAAUCAGAAAGCCACGGCUAACUACGUGCCAGCAGCCGCGGUAAUACGUAGGUGGCAAGCGUUAUCCGGAAUUAUUGGGCGUAAAGCGCGCGUAGGCGGUUUUUUAAGUCUGAUGUGAAAGCCCACGGCUCAACCGUGGAGGGUCAUUGGAAACUGGAAAACUUGAGUGCAGAAGAGGAAAGUGGAAUUCCAUGUGUAGCGGUGAAAUGCGCAGAGAUAUGGAGGAACACCAGUGGCGAAGGCGACUUUCUGGUCUGUAACUGACGCUGAUGUGCGAAAGCGUGGGGAUCAAACAGGAUUAGAUACUCUGGUAGUCCACGCCGUAAACGAUGAGUGCUAAGUGUUAGGGGGUUUCCGCCCCUUAGUGCUGCAGCUAACGCAUUAAGCACUCCGCCUGGGGAGUACGACCGCAAGGUUGAAACUCAAAGGAAUUGACGGGGACCCGCACAAGCGGUGGAGCAUGUGGUUUAAUUCGAAGCAACGCGAAGAACCUUACCAAAUCUUGACACCCUUUGACAACUCUAGAGAUAGAGCCUUCCCCUUCGGGGGACAAAGUGACAGGUGGUGCAUGGUUGUCGUCAGCUCGUGUCGUGAGAUGUUGGGUUAAGUCCCGCAACGAGCGCAACCCUUAAGCUUAGUUGCCAUCAUUAAGUUGGGCACUCUAAGUUGACUGCCGGUGACAAACCGGAGGAAGGUGGGGAUGACGUCAAAUCAUCAUGCCCCUUAUGAUUUGGGCUACACACGUGCUACAAUGGACAAUACAAAGGGCAGCGAAACCGCGAGGUCAAGCAAAUCCCAUAAAGUUGUUCUCAGUUCGGAUUGUAGUCUGCAACUCGACUACAUGAAGCUGGAAUCGCUAGUAAUCGUAGAUCAGCAUGCUACGGUGAAUACGUUCCCGGGUCU
rnacentral:rRNA from 1 species